rnacentral:lncRNA from 10 species
GUUAGGGACUAGAACUGAGAUCUCUGCUGUGGGCCACCUUCUUCUCUGCUGAUCUCUUCCUGGGACUUCCAGACACAGAGACCUCAGUAGGAGCUGCUGCUUCCAAGAAGGUACAUUGAGAAAGGGAAAGAAGAGCCAGCAUUGCAUGGCAUACCUGGGGUACAGAUGAGUGUAAGGAAUGAAAAUUUAAUAAGGUGUUUUCCAGAGGUUACAUGACAUGUAAUGCCACAACAGAUUGACUACAGAAGCAGGUAGGAUAAUCCAGUUGCCUUCUAUUCAGCCACACGUUAAAGAGAUGUGCAAAAACAUGAAAAAGUACCACUCCUCUCACUAAUUU